AUGAACGCUGGCGGCGUGCCUAAUACAUGCAAGUCGCGCGAACAGACGAGGAGCUUGCUCCUCUGACGUUAGCGGCGGACGGGUGAGUAACACGUGGAUAACCUACCUAUAAGACUGGGAUAACUUCGGGAAACUGGAGCUAAUACCGGAUAAUAUAUUGAACCGCAUGGUUCAAUAGUGAAAGACGGUUUUGCUGUCACUUAUAGAUGGAUCCGCGCCGCAUUAGCUAGUUGGUAAGGUAACGGCUUACCAAGGCGACGAUGCGUAGCCGACCUGAGAGGGUGAUCGGCCACACUGGAACUGAGACACGGUCCAGACUCCUACGGGAGGCAGCAGUAGGGAAUCUUCCGCAAUGGGCGAAAGCCUGACGGAGCAACGCCGCGUGAGUGAUGAAGGUCUUCGGAUCGUAAAACUCUGUUAUUAGGGAAGAACAAAUGUGUAAGUAACUAUGCACGUCUUGACGGUACCUAAUCAGAAAGCCACGGCUAACUACGUG
rnacentral:rRNA from 1 species